AUGCUCACGGACACGCUGCUCAUCCUGGCGGCGGUGCUCUGCUUCAUGCUCCGCAUGGUCGGGCUGGCCAUGGUGGCCCAGUGCUCCCGCGUGUGCAAUCCCUCCGCCUUCUUCAUCGACGCGUCGGGGCAGUCGCGACGUCGUGCAAGGGGAUCAAGAAGAAGGCGCUGCAGUCGCUGCCCACGGACGAGCGCAUCCGGCGGAGUUCGCAUGCGGCGAGGAGGUGCAUGUGCUCCCGACCUCUCGUCCUGGGACAGAUGA
rnacentral:rRNA from 1 species